UACGAAGGGGGCUAGCGUUGUUCGGAAUCACUGGGCGUAAAGCGCACGUAGGCGGAUUUUUAAGUCAGGGGUGAAAUCCCGAGGCUCAACCUCGGAACUGCCUUUGAUACUGGAGAUCUUGAGUCCGGAAGAGGUAAGUGGAACUGCGAGUGUAGAGGUGAAGUUCGUAGAUAUUCGCAAGAACACCAGUGGCGAAGGCGGCUUACUGGUCCGGAACUGACGCUGAGGUGCGAAAGCGUGGGGAGCAAACAGG
rnacentral:rRNA from 1 species